CUCAAACUCUGGUUUAUAUCACUAUUUAAAAUAAUAUUAUAUAAGUAAAAGAAUUGAAUUUUAUCCACAAAAAAGUACUGAGAAGGAAAGUUUCGUUAAUUUUAAAGAAGUUAUUUAUUAUACCUUUUGUAUCAGGGUUUAUCUAAUUUUGACCAGUAUUGUCAAAUCCCGAAAUAAGGUGAUCUAUGUUAAUUAAAGAUGACUGUUUCAUAAUUCUCUUCAAGAUUAAUGUCGGUGUAAAAAAUAUUUCGUACCUUUAUAUCUGGUUGGCAUAAGACUCCUUUAGGGUACUCCACAAGGAAGAUUUUCUAGGGGACGAGCUCUAGAAAAAAUUACAUCAAACCACCGUCAGUGAUAUGAAUAGGCUUAAAAGUUGCCAGGGUGUAAUAACCAGGCUCACUUAGAUAAUAAUUUAAAGUUGAUUAAUUCAACCUAGCCAGUGCUGGUUAUUAAUAUCCAGCAGUUAUAAUGAUAAAAUUAGUAUAAGUAUAAAAAUAUAAUAGAAUUUAUUCUAAAAAUUCUGGAAGGAAUUCGGCAAAACUCGCUUCCGCCUGUUUAACAAAA
rnacentral:rRNA from 1 species